UACCAGUGGAGCUUCCUGUGGGCAGAUAAGUUAAAAAAUGAACAUGCAGAACACAUCCUGCAAGCCAGCAGCAAGGAAUCUGGUAUUAGACAUUAGAGGGCUAUGGAUGGUCUACAGGUUGGAGUGCCACCUGAACAUAUUCUUUCUACCACAAGGAAGACUAUGGCCAGUCCUCCAGCAAGACACAACAUCACUUCAAUGCUGCACAGUGUCUACAGGUUUAAUUGGAUUCUUGGCUUACCUAGUUUCUGAGAGCAACUUCAUCCAACACGGGCAGCGUCCUACCAGCAGUUUUGCUUGGUGAACUCUUUCCCAGAGGUUCAAGUCAGAUUAGAAGAUUAGGGAACCUAGGCAGAGUUUGUGGGUGCAGGCCCUACCAAGUGGAGUCUGUUCACACACAAGUAUGGGUCUGCGGCCACUCUACCUAAUGGCUGCCCUUGCCGGGUCCUGUGGGCAGCAUUCUCCAGUGCCAAAACUCCUCACUCAUUCUCUUAUGUGAUACAAAUGAUUCCUGCUCUCUGCUCAUAGUCUCUAUGCUCUGUAGUCUUUUGCAGGUUUUCAGACCCAAGUUAGCUGUAGCAAGUCAUUGCUGCUCUUAAUUGGAUUGGUAAUUAAGCCCCAGGUGGUUCCCUUGGUUGUAUUCAGGCUUGUCUUCCUGGAUGUCAAGAUGUCAAGCCUUCUUACAUCAGCUAUCACUUAAAAACAAGCACUUAGGAACUCACUUACUUGGCUGGACUGAAGGAUAUUGUUAUUUAAUACCACUUUUUGCUUUUAGCAGAUUUGAUUUAACAGUGCUGUUAUACCUCCCAGCACAAGAACAUAAAUGGUUAUCUUAGAAAAAUUUGUCUGAUAGCUCAAGUUUCAAGUAAUCGCAUAAAGAAGUGUGGAAGCGUUCUUGCAGUGACUCAAAAACAGUGCAAAACCUUCCAGGUAAUAAAGUUGUAAUUCGCUCUCAAAACCGGCAUACUCACUCAGGAGCUGAGUCCACCAAGAGAUGGCAUUUGCACUGUGUUUGGCUAGUGCUAUAAACUAGUGGUAGCACAUUUAUGUACUAAAGACUUUUUACUGUAAGUCGUUUUUAAUGUAAAAGACAUUUUAUAAAACAGUAGGGGAAAUGUUUGCCUGAGCUUAGUCAAAGAUGAGAUCAUUAGGUACUGGCACAAAGAAAUGGGGAAUAUGAAGAAUUUCUUAACAUGGAGAGAAAGGCAGUCGGAAAUUUUUUUACAAUCUCAGAGUUGCAGCCAGAAUGUGUAAGCAUUUUUUCUUGUAUAUUUUUCCUCACAUUAUAGUGGAAUAGGGUGUAGAGUAUUGCUUUUAAAGUAGAACAGUAACACAAGUUGUAAAAAACAGUUGUCGAAGCUUACAUAAAAUCAAAAGGCCAUUCAAGGCAAAUAAUAUCAUCUAUUCCUUCUGUUAAAUGGCAGUUUAGCUAUUCAUAGGCAGUUUGUGAGACAAGUUGAAAAUCAGGAGAAAAUGAGAUCAUAUUUGUCGGUUUCUGUUUAUUGUUCAUUAGCUUGCUUAUGUUGCAACUAUUUACAUAUUUUUGGCAUUCACAGAAGAAAUAAAAUUCAUAGUGUUUUGGUGAAAAGAACUCAGCUAGGGAAAUAAAAAAUCUAGUUAUGCUGCAUUUACUUCACUUUGUAUGUGUAUAAAUGCAAGAUUUAGGUGCUUAGAGUUGGUAAUGAACAUUUGUAAUGCAUGUUAAAAUCUUAUAAUCCAUUGUUUCAUCUUUUUAAAUAGGGAGUUUCCUAUGUUCAUAUUUUACGAACAGGCAGGGUUUCAGCUCAAGCAGAGCUUAUGUGAGAACACAGAAGGAGAGAGGACGUGAUGAAUCUGUUGAUGUCUUCUUUAAGCGUGUUUUUUGUGGAAGACAAUGUUCAAAACCUAAUCCUUAGAAAGCAAAUGACUACUCAUUUUUCACUGAGUCUCUGAUUUCCAUUAUGUGAUCUACUUACCUCUUGUUUUCUGAGUAAUUAUGUGCUUCAAAAAUGUCAAAUGAUGUGAAGUGAGGUUUAUUAAAGAUUGGGCACUGUGCAACGUAUACUGUCUUGACUAUCAAAAUUAAAAAAUGAAAAAGUCCAUUUUUCAAAUAGGAGUCAGUGCAAGGGACAAAAAGGUAUGCAGGUUUGUGCAUGGGUGUCUGGCAAAGAGACAGUUCCUUCAGAAGUCUUCAAGGAAAAUAAAGCAAGAAAAUAUUUUGGUUAAUAAGUUAUAGAUUAAUAUCUGGAUAGUUAUUUUCCCAGCAAUGACAAUAACAGAGAUUCUGCUGUUCUUUUGUAGAAAUGGCUUCCAGAUGGGAAUCAUGGUCUACAGUCCAAGACUGAAUGUGAUUUAAUAAGUUUUUUAUCAGUAAAUUAUAUAAUAUUUCAGAAUAUGAACAUUGACACUGCACUGAUUCCCUCUACUUUUAGAUGGUUGUUUAUUCUCUUCUUUUGUUCAUUUCUGGUUACUACUGCCCAAGUCUUCUGAAUAUUUGUGAGUAUAAUCUGGAAGAAAAAAAUCACUAUUAUGUAAUAAGCACAUGACUGUGACUAUGUCAUAGUAAGACUUGGAGUAACAGGUUAGAAGACUGUGAUUUUUAAACACAGAGUAAGUUCAUUCAUAUGUUUUCUUUGUAGCAUCAGAAGAAGAUAUAGUUCAGGUUAUCAUGGGCUUUAACAUGGUGAGUUAGUAAUACUUAACUGGGGUAUAAUCACAUUCAAGGAUUUUUCUUUCUAAUUCGUGCAUUAUCUUUCUACAUCUUCAACCUCAAUCGACUCCCUCGUCAAGUAAUAUUUUGUCUUGAAAUUUCUCCUUUUAAAAUGUGUGAAUAUAUAAUAACACAGAAAAGGAAAGCUGUGAAGAAAGAUACUUUGGAGCACAGUUAUUUGGUUAUAUGAAUCAGUCAUGACUUGCUUUAAAAUGCUGAUUUUACAGGAGUCACUCAAGUACUGACACCGUAAGCCACAUUAAGUGUUUUGUAGCAGUACGGCCCUAUGUGCACAGACAAGAUUAAUGGCUGAUUCUCUUUAUAUCUCUUUUAUCUGAUUGAUGCUUCCCUGCAUCAAAAUUUUAUAUUUUGCUUGUGCGUGUAUUUUUCUGGGUAGAAGGAAUGUCUAUAAUUUUGAUGUUUACAUAAAAUGUGUUUGUUAAAUUUUUUGUUUGUUUUUUUCCUAGAACUGGAUGAUUUAUUCUAGAAGUAGUUAAUAUUCUGACUAAGCAUGGAAAUUCAGUUUUCAUACAAGCUUCCUAACUUUUUUAAAAAACUUGCCCAGUAGUUGAAUUACUUUUAUGAAUGAAUUAUAAGUAAAAAGUUAAUAUGGUUUUUGUACAGUCAUCAGAAAGAUACAGAAAUCUUUUAAGGGUUCAAUAUAAAUCAGACACCCCAAUUUCUAUUAUAAAAAUUAAUGGAACUUCCACAGUGAUAUUUUUCUCCAAAGCAGUAGAGAUUCCACUGAAAAACAAAAACAAACAAACAAAAAAACCUGAAUAUUUACCCAAAACAGUCUGUAUCAAGAGUGGACAAAGUGGUAAUACUACAAACCUCCCUUUGCACUUUAGAAAUGAUUUUGAAUUUCUGGUUAGUAAAACAGAAAAUGAGAAAUAAUUUUAAAAUGUAAGAAGAAAAAAUUGCCAGCUACUCUUAUUAGUUAGUGUGUUUAGACUGUGGUGAUAGACAUUGGAAACAACUUGAUAUUAAACGUAAACUGCAGACCAGUUUGUCUCAUACUGUGAUCGAAGAGUGUUUUCUACUUUCAUACAUAAACCUUUGCAAGUGCAUGCUACCGACGUGUCCACACUCCUUUUGCUUUCCUACUGGUUUUUAAAAAUUGUCCCCUUUAUUCAAGGAGGAAAAGGGAGAAAGGAUUGGGCUGUUUGUUUUGGGGUGGGAGUGUGAGUGGGAGAUUGUUUUAAAAUUAGAAGCAUCAGUAGUCUCCAUUUAGGGUUUUCUUUUCCUAGAGGAAAAAUGAGAGGUAUUGGUGGAAAGUAUUUUAGACUAUAAGUUGGCGAUAUUAAUCAGGAAAGAGAGUUUGGCUGUUUCAUGAAGACCGGUGUCUCACACUAGGUGCUGAUACAAACAAGCAAAAGAUACUACACUACAUAGUUAAAAGAAAAAAAAAAUGGAAAGAGAAUUUAAAAUCUCGUUCAGCUUGCAGUUAUCUCUGUGAUAGCCCCAUUUCACUCUCCAGGCAAUCACCAAUAGUAAUUCUGGAUAAUUCCCUGCAUACUUUUCUUGUGAAAGUAGGAUUAAAAAAAAAAUCCAAAUCACUUUUCCCCCGUUAUAUAAUGAGAAAGAAGGCCAAGAAAAGACAUCACGGUGCUUUCUCUUCUUUGUAGGUCAUUUUAAGGCAGAAAUUCAAGCACCUUGGAGUAAUCACGGGUUUUGAAUAGACUGCUUCUAUCAUUUAUGGUGGUAUGGUAAUAUUAUAUGGGAAAAUGUGAAAUUCUGAGAGGAGUAGAGACCAGAGUAAAGCCAAAUCGCUACAGGGUUCGAGCAGCAAUUGGCUGUAAAGUUAAUAUGGAGCAACAGUUGGAUGUUGCAAGGUUGAGCAUUAAUCCAGUGCCUGGUAGAAAAAUAAUUUAUCUCAGUUUCUGCCUCAUAGUGAUUGUACUAUGCAAGCUAUUGGGCAAAACACAAUUAAAAAGCAACCCUCUGUGAAGUCCAUAGAUUAUAUUUCAUGAUCCUGACAUCUUCAGUCAAUGUGAAGAUGAAAAAUACGUGCUGUAUGGAUGGGAAUAGCUCCCUCCCAAAUCCAUUUACAGUAGAAGUUCGAACUGGGGAGGAAAUUUGUCUUUUUAUCAAAAUUAUUUUUAUUGAGAAAAGCAGAAGUGCGUGUUACAUAUACAUGUCUUCUUGCAUAGUGUACAUUCUGAUACAGUUAAUUCAGCCAAUUUUCUGGUAUUAUUCUCAAAAUCUGUGCCAUGGAUAUUAGAGUCCUCCAUAUGGGUACAUUUAUUCCUCUGAUUUUUUCCAUUUCUUCUUAUUGUAAUAACUGUAGAAAAUCAAGCAUUUUAGUUGAAAUGUAGAGUCAUUAAGGUUAUUUUAGAGGAUCUGAAGCCCUCUCACGUUUUGUGUAGUUAGUUAUUUUGUUGUAGAAAGAGUUGCAUCUAGAUGUAUCUUCAUUUAUUUUUUAGCUCAAGCAGAGAUGGAAAUUAAAACUAUCUAUUUUGCAAAGCACUCUCUUCUUUCUUCUUUUUACAUCCAAUUUAUGCAUAAAUGAAUAUUUCAAUUUUUUUUACAGGAGGUGUGGGUUUCCAGCAAGCCUUCAACUCUGAAUGUUAAAUCUGGGGAUGAAGCAGGCUGCUUCUUCAAAAUGCAAAUACAUGCGCUGUGUUUAGACUGGGAAGAACAGCACUGAAUAUUUUGAAUGUUAUAAUGAAAUGCCACACUGGCUCUCAGCAGCCACCAUGCAGCUGCAUGUGCAGGACAUGAGCCAGAGGUGGGAGCAGCCCAUGAUGCCCAAAAGUGCAUCCAGGGUGCGCGGGCUGAAGGGUGCAGACCUGUCUUUCCCUGGGAUUAAAAGACGCCGGAGCUGGAAGUCGUGAGAAACUGAAGCAUUGGCACUCGGGAGGCUGACAGGACCAGGACAGCGGAGCCAAGUGAAUUCGGAUUUUACAGUCAGUCAAGCAGAGGUUUUUCUGAAUUGCUUUUGUGGAUUUGGAUCGCCUGAACUCCACUUUCAGUUCCUUACGUGCAUCCUGAGUGUGUGGCUCUGCGUUCCAACGAAAAUAUAGGCUACAUCUCAAAUAAACAAAAUGGAGGAAAUAAAUAAUGCUUUUUUCCAUUUUAGUAUGCGAUCUCAAGUCCUAAAAGAAAAAAUUUCAUGCAAUUUUCUGGUCACCUAAGGAACUAACACCUCCGGUGGAACUCAGCACACCUCUUCUAGUUACAUAAAACAGACACUUCCAAAUGCAAUGUUUUAUUAAGGUGUGAUUAACUAAGGGGGGGAUAGAAGAGUUUUCUGAAAAAAUAUGGUAAACUAAUAAAUGGCACAUUUAUUUUAAAAAAUUGUAAUUCUCCUUGGCAUUUGAUUACAGCAUGUGAGAUCAAGGAGUUACUGACAAAGUAUGUUUAAGCUGACAAAGCUAUUUAUGCUACAAAAAUCUGCAGUUACACACUUCCCUGCUCUUGUUCUGGCUUUGUAUGAAACCUGCUUUUCUUUUUUUUUUUUGCUUAUACUCUUAAGGAUAGCUCUGCAUAUGAAUUCUAUACAUUUUUUCAUAUAAUUUGUGAUUUUAUAAGAUAACACCACAUCACCAUAUAAACCAUUGUGUUUCAUUUUGAGAAUAAACAGAUAGGUGACUC